GAUGAACGCUAGCGGGAGGCCUUACACAUGCAAGCCGAGCGGUAUUUGUUCUUCGGAACAGAGAGAGCGGCGCACGGGUGCGGAACACGUGUGCAACCUGCCUUUAUCUGGGGGAUAGCCUUUCGAAAGGAAGAUUAAUACCCCAUAAUAUAUUGAGUGGCAUCAUUUGAUAUUGAAAACUCCGGUGGAUAGAGAUGGGCACGCGCAAGAUUAGAUAGUUGGUGAGGUAACGGCUCACCAAGUCAAUGAUCUUUAGGGGGCCUGAGAGGGUGAUCCCCCACACUGGUACUGAGACACGGACCAGACUCCUACGGGAGGCAGCAGUGAGGAAUAUUGGACAAUGGGUUAGCGCCUGAUCCAGCCAUCCCGCGUGAAGGACGACGGCCCUAUGGGUUGUAAACUUCUUUUGUAUAGGGAUAAACCUACUCUCGUGAGAGUAGCUGAAGGUACUAUACGAAUAAGCACCGGCUAACUCCGUG
rnacentral:rRNA from 1 species